UACUGCCUUUACCAAUCAGCUUUUACCAUUCAUAAUUUUCAUGUUUCUAGUUGUGGCUUUUUCUUUUUCGCUUAGAGAAGUCCCUUAACAUUUCUUGUAAAGUUGGUUUGGUGGUGCUGAACUCUUUUUAUCUUUUGCUGAACUCUUUUUAUCUUUUGCUUGUCUGUGUAACUUUUUUUUUUUUUUGGCGGUACGCGGGCCUCUCGCUGUUGUGGCCUCUCCCGUGGUGGAGCACAGGCUCUGGACGCACAGGCUCAGCAGCCAUGGCUCACGGGCCCAGCCGCACCACGGCAUGUGGGAUCUUCCCGGACCAGGGCACGAACCUGUGUCCCCUGCAUUGGCAGGCGGACUCUCAACCACUGUGCCACCAGGGAAGCCCUGCUUGUCUGUGUAACUUUUGAUCUCUACAUCAAAUCUGAAUGAAAGCCUUGCUGGGUAGAGUGCUCUUCAUUAUAGGUUUUUUCCCUUUCAUCCUUUUAAAUAUAUUAUGCCACUCCCUUCUGGCAUGCAGAGUUUCUGCUGAAAAGUCAGCUGAUAGCCUUAUGGGAGUUCCCUGGUACAUAAGUUGUUUCAUUUUCCUUUUAAUAUUCUCUUUAUUUUUAAUUUUUACCAUUUUAAUCACAAUGUGUCUUGGUAUGAUCCUCUUUGGUUUGGUCCUGUGCUUCUUGAAGGUGGACGUCUAUUUCCUUUCCCAAGUUAAGCAAGUUUUUAGCUACUAUGUCUUCAGAUAUGUUCUCCGCCCCUUUCUCUCUCUCUCUCCCCCCUCCUUCUGGGAGUCCUAUAAUGCAAAUGUUAGCAUGCUUGAUGUUGUCCCAGAGGUCUCUGAAAUUGUCCUCGUUUCUUUUUACUCUUUUUUUCUGUUCCACCUCGGUGAUUUCCACUAUUGUCUUGUGGGUCACUAAUUUGUUCCUCUCUAUCGUUUAAUCUGCUGUUGAUUCCUUCUACUGUAUUUUUAGGUUCAGUUAUUGUAUUCAUCUGUUUGGCUCUUCUCUGUAUUUUCUGACUCUUUGUUCGAAACUUCUAACUUCUGUAUCUGUAUUCAUCCGUUCUUCUCCCGAGCUGUUUGAUCGUCCUUGUGAUCAUUACCUUGAACCUUUAUUGGCUAGACUGUCUGUCUCCAUUUCACUUCUUCUGUGGUUUUAUCUUGUUCCUUCACUUGUAACACAUUCCUCUGUUUCCUCAUUUUGCCUAAUUUGCUGUUUUUAUUUCUAUGUAUCUGGUAGGUUGGUUACAUUUUCUGACCCUGGAAAAGUGGCCUUUUGUAGGAGACGUCCUGUGCAUCCCAGCAGUGCACUCACCUCUGGUCAGCAGAGCUGUAUGUAUGCUGUAGGGGUGCCCCCUAUGUGGGCUGCCUGGGUUCUCCUGUUGUGGUCAGCUGACUGCUGCUGGCAGUCUAGUAGGUACGGCUGGCCCCUGGUCCAGUUCGUUGCCAGGCUGCUGGUUGGUAGGGCUGGGUCCUGAGACAGUUGGCUGUGGAAUCUCAGAGUGUCCUGGGGCUAGGGCUGGCCCACUGGUGGGCAGAGCUGCGUUCUGGGGGUGGGGACUGGGGUUCCCAGAUCUAGUGUUGACCUGCUGGUGGGCAGGGCCAUGCCCCAGGGGGUCCUGGUGUGUGGGGCUGGUCCUGGGGUUAGUGUUGGCAGUCUGGUGGGCAGAGCUGGAUCCUGGUGUCCGGCUGCAGGGAUUGGGGGUCCUGGAGCUGGUGCUGGUCCACUGGUGGGUGGGUCCCAGGGCUAGUGUUGGCACACUGUGUAUGGGGUUAGUUCUUGGGCCCUCUGGACAGGGCUGUGUCCCUGGGCAGCUGUGGGCUUAGGGGGUCCUAAGGCAGCAGCCCUGCUGGUGGGUGGGUCUGUAUCCCCACGCUGUUAGUUGCGUGGCCUGAGGUGUCCCAGUGCUAUUCCUGACAGGCUGACUGGCAGAGCAGCUAAGAAGCUAGAGAGGAUUCCAAAAUGGUGCUUGCCAGCUCUGGUGUUCUCCUGGUAGACAAGCUCCCCAAAAUGGCUGCCACAGUGUCUGUGACCCCAGUGUGAGUUCCAGUUGCCUCCUGCCUUUCUGGAAGGCUCUCCAAGAUCAGCAGUGGUAGAAGAUCUUUUCUGCUGGAUUCCAGUCUCUCUCAUCAGCAGUGGCUCUGCAAACAGUUGUAAUUUUGUUGUGCCCACGAGAGGAGGCAGCUGCAGUCAAGUUCUGACUUAAGGUCAGAGAAUUCUGGAGUGAGGAGACGGCAGAAUGAUGGAGAAGCUCUUAGCCUGCAACCUGCAAUCCUUUCUGUAAACCGCUUGCUGCCGCUCUCUGCUGUGGCCCCGCCAGCUUGGCGUCCCUCUUCCUGCACAGUUUCCCCAGGUAGCAUCACACACGACUGUCUGGGAGAACGACAUGGAAUCAGGCGUGAUCCCGCUUCCCAAGUCCCAUGUGGAUUCGGUACUUUAUCCUAGUUUGGUCUCCGCUGACUGGCUGUACAUUGGCAAGUGAUCUUUUCUCCUCAGCUUAUGUUCUCAUAACUACCCACCAUGUUGGUGGUCUGGCAUUUAGCAGAUCUUCAGUUUGAAUGAGUUAAAAACUAGGCUUUGAGAAGGCUGCGUUCAGCCUGGGCCUUUCCUGCUCCUUCCCUUACUUUGAGAAACCACAGUGGAACACGUGGAUCCCCACGUAGCUCUUUCUUUUAUCUUCUCCCCUCACUGCACCCACCUCACCACUUGUCCUCCAGAAGCAGCUAGGAUAGCUCAGUUUGCGGGUAAAUGUUAUAAUUGGAGGGGAAAAAAAACCCACUUGAUACUAACCUUGUUAAAUGUCUACUCAAUUCGUGAACUUCCAUUUCAGUGCUUUUAAAUUCAUUGAGCUCCUUCCGAAUGGCAGCCUGCAAGGAAGAGAAGCCCAUGAGAGUGCAGAGGAUGGAAAGCAGCUCACCUUCUUUUAUUCCUAAGCUUUCUUUCUUCGACAAAGCCAUACACGUGCAUAAAACGGAUUCUUCCACCGGGAGAAACAAAAUCACCUGAGGUCUCCUUUAGAGCCUGUGCAGAGUCCCGUCCCCCUAAAUCUAAGUUGCGAGCACUCCGAUUUGGGAUCCUGCCCAGAGCUGUUCCACCUGGGCAGCGCGAGGGCCCUUCCACCUGGCCCACACUCCUGGGUCCUGAGUGCACAUAUCUUUCUUUGGUGAAUCUAAGCUCAUCAGAGGCACAGCGACACCUCGGGAUGGAUACUUCUAGAGGAGGUGUGUGAAAUUCCCCAACCAAACGAAGGGGUGACGGCCAGCUGCCCCCUUUCCCUUUGACUCAUGAAGCCUUGGCUCCUUUACAAGUCUGUUGACUCUGAGGUGAUAUAUUUCACCAUGGAGGGUAUGGAAUGUGUUUUGAAUAACCUCAAACACGCAUGAGAUAAACCUGAAUGACCUCGUCCUCACAGUCACAGAUGUGGCCAUCGUCUGGGGCCACCGAGAAGGCGGAAGGAGGACUGGAGCAAAAGAACGUCUGGGGUUGGAGAAAACCUUACCUCUUCCUCGGGGCUGAAAAUUUAAACGUGGGCCCAUUCCCAUAGCUCUUUCUAAGGUUGAUACGUGCUUUGAUGGGAAGAUAAUCAGGGCACGGAGAGUCUGAGGAUGGAAAAGUCUUUUUUUUCCAUUCAUCCAAAAAACUUCUAUUGUGUGCAGUUGUACUGUGCUAGGUGUAUUAUGCAAAGAGGAAUCAGAAAAGUUGCCACUGUUUGAGAGUUGACAGUCUAACAGAAGACAUAAGUGCAUAAAUAAUAAUUUAUAAAAUGAUAGGCAUCUCUAGAAAGGAACAGAUAAAACAAUUUCUACUUCAAGUUGGUCGUCCAUUUUUGGAGAGCCAGUUAAGAUGCCACCCCUCAGUCAGACUGCUUGUAUAAGUAAGAUUAAGGGCAAGGCAGAAAGCAAUUUAAUACUUCUUGUUUUUGUGUAUGUGAGAAUUUUUAUGAUUAUGAAAGUAAUGCGUAAGAUUAAGGGCAAGGCAGAAAGCAAUUUAAUACUUCUUGUUUUUGUGUAUGUGAGAAUUUUUAUGAUUAUAAAAGUAAUGCGUGAGAAAAUGGGCAAGGGACUUGAACAGACAUUCACAAAAGGCCAGUCAACAUAUGCAAAGGGGCUUGAGCUCAUCAGAAAACAGGGAAAUGCAACUAACCGUCCUGAGAAACCACUACACACCCACCCAAAAGGGCUAAGAUGAUACCACGUGUUCACCGAAAUAGGCAACGAUGAGAACUCUCAUAAGCUGCUGGUGAGCGUGUAAAUUCAUACAAUCACUUUGGGACACUCUUUGGCAUUACUACUAAAGCAGUGAACCCUCUCCACACUGCAGGACACACAUAUUCUGCUUCUAGAUUCAACCUCAGCAGAAACGUGUGCACUCGUGAAUGAAAAGACAUGGAAAAAGAAUGUUCAUAGCAGCAUUUUCAUCACAGCAGCGCUGUCAGUCAACAGUAAAGCAGGUAGCUACAUUUUGGAAGACUCGUAACUCUAAAUACUAUGGUAUUUCUCUUUACAGUCCUCUUUGUGCGUAUUUUAUAUUAAAGAUACACACUCUGUACUCUUCCAAUAAAAAUGUAAUAACACAAGUGUUUCUU